UGUCGAAGUGGGAUUCGAACCCACGCCUCAACGUGGACCAGAACUUCAACACUUGCGAAGAGCAAGGGAACCCUUGAGUCUGGCGCCUUAGACCGCUCGGCCAUCCUGAC